rnacentral:lncRNA from 13 species
CGGAGCGGGCCCGGCCCGAGCCCAGCGCCGCCCCGGCACCGGGCCCGCGUCACUUCCUGAGCUGCCGGGCCGGGACUGUCGGGGUUCGGCUGCGCUCCGGGGCAGUCCCGCCGGGCUCUACAGCUCCAGGGCCGAGGGCGGCUCCCGGACCCUCAUCCCGUGAUACGGGUGACGCUGUUGACGGGACUCGGCCUUCUUUUUCCUGAUUCUGGUCACAGCCUUCUCUCAGGCAUCCACCUGCUCCGGCGUGGGGCUCCUCCACGGGCUGCAGGUGACUUAAAAAUGACACAUCAUGCGACACAAGCAGGUGUCAGAGAAACACCAGACUAAAGGAGCUAUCUAUUGCUGUGCAAGCUUUAGUCAAGGUGUCACCUCAGUCUGUGGGUUUGAGCAGCAGCAUAGGUACUCUUUUCUGUGUGCCACUCAUAUGAUCUGCAAGCACAUAUCUGUGUAA